rnacentral:sRNA from 1 species
AGCAGCCGCGGUAAUUCCAGCUCCAAUGGCGUAUAUUAAAGUUGUUGCAGUUAAAAAGCUCGUAGUUGAAUUUCGGGGUUAGUAGGUUGGUCAUGCCUCUGGUAUGUACUGGUCUCACUGAUUCCUCCUUCCUGAUGAACCGUAAUGCCAUUAAUUUGGUGUUGCGGGGAAUUUGGACUGUUACUUUGAAAAAUUAGAGUGUUUAAAGCAAGCUAACGCUUGAAUACAUUAGCAUGGAAUAAUGAAAUAGGACGUUCGAUCCUAUUUUGUUGGUUUCUAGGAUUGACGUAAUGAUUAAUAGGGAUAGUUGGGGGCAUUAGUAUUCAAUUGUCAGAGGUGAAAUUCUUGGAUUUAUGAAGACUAACUACUGCGAAAGCAAUUUGCCAAGGAUGU